rnacentral:rRNA from 1 species
CGCGCAGGUGGUUUCUUAAGUCUGAUGUAAAAGGCAGUGGCUCAACCAUUGUGUGCAUUGGAAACUGGGAGACUUGAGUGCAGGAGAGGAGAGUGGAAUUCCAUGUGUAGCGGUGAAAUGCGUAGAUAUAUGGAGGAACACCGGAGGCGAAAGCGGCUCUCUGGCCUGUAACUGACACUGAGGCUCGAAAGCGUGGGGAGCAAACA